GGCGGAAUGAUGCAUCUGUUGUAUUUCACUCUAAUUAAAGAGAUUACAAAAUACAUGAUAAAUUAAUUAAAGAGAUUACAAACUAAAAUACAUGAUAAAUACACAAAGUGCAAAAGAUAACAACUAUAACUAUUUACAGUUACAAUCCGAUAUAGCAAAGGUAAAAGUUACAAAAACUGUCAUGAUAAGUUUACAAACUCUAGAAUUGAUCACUCGAGAUAAAUUUUCAUCUCUAGUCUCUUGAUCAUCUGCAAGAAUAUCCUUAAUUUGGAGCUGUUGUUACUUCAGUGAAAUUGAGACUUUGGAGAGAGUAAGGAGCUAAGCUGCAGAUGUGGAGAUUGCUGACGAAUUAAGCUGCCGAUGGUGCUGAGUGAGUAGAUACAUUAACACUUACUGCUACUUUAAAUUCAUUUAAUCAAUUAGCGGCAUUUAGUUGAGUUUGGAAUUUAAAUGGUUUGAUUAUACUCACUGGUUACAGAAAUAAUGGUUGUGUAAGUAGGCCUUCAAGUUCAUCGCAAGCUUUAUUGCUCAGAACUUUCUGGAAAUGAAAUUGAAGAGAUGAGGGACAUUGUUUUCCAUUCGAAACUUGUCAAGCAACCAGUUCUUGUUUGUACCUCAAUUUCGUAACCUGUUCGACCUCGAGUAGUUUGCAAUUGGAACUUGUUUGUCAUUAUCAUGGAUUGGUAUUUUCCUAUUUUUUGAACAUUAUUAAAAAUAUCAUCCUAAUUAAUUCCUGGAACCUUUAUAUGGAAUUAAAUAUUGUAUUUGUAAUCAUGAAUUGGCACAACUCUAGUUUAAAAGACAUUCAUGCAUAGGUAAUCGCUCAAUGUGCCAAAUAGUCAAUGUUGACACACAUUCCUGAAAAAGUUUGGUGUAGCUAAUAUGAGGAGGGCGAACCUAGUGAUCUGUGUAUUUGUCACGUACAUUAUUCUCUCCUCCACCUUAUGGACUCCUGUAGUAGCUGUAUACUAGUAGAAGAUGCCAAUUAAAAAAAAAAAACAAAAAACUCAUAGAAAACUACCGAAGAAAACAUCGUAACACAUUUUGAUAGUACUAUAAGAAAACAUCACAAUUCGGGCAGUGCAUGUGAGAAACUAAAUCGCUGCUCGCUUUUCUUUUGAGAGACACAAUAGACGUUUGACUACAUAAAUGCAUUACAUGAGUCCAAAAUUUAUUUGACAGGAGUGAAUAUAUGGAGUGGCCGUGUGCCUUAGAGGGGAUCCAUAAUCAAGAAAACAAAAAAAACUUGUAAGCGUUUUUAGAUUCUAUCAAUAUUAUCAUACCUAGGAUUUCUGGAUCUCUUCAGAACAGGUAAAAAUUGUUAGUUCAAGGUCGAACAGACAACGAGAUCAAGAUAACCUGCAAGAAACAGCUCACUUGACAAGGUUGGCAUGGAAACCACUCACCAAAUGAAGAACCAAUAAUAUUAAUUUUUAUAGAUUCAUAAAAAAGGUAAGAAGGCAAAAUUCGAGCUACAACCAGCUAGCUUUUAU
rnacentral:lncRNA from 1 species